AGCUUUGUGGUCGAUUGGUAAGGACACUUCGCCUCUCACCCUGAAGGUCCGGGUUCGAUCCCCGGUCGAGGCGC